UAGGGUCAUAUCACGUUGAAACACCGGUUCUCGUACGAUUACGGAAGUUAAGCAACGUCGAUCCUGUUCAGCAAAUAGAUGCGUGACGCUUGGGAAUACCAGGUGGUGUAAU